UAUUUUAAUUAAUUAUUAAUUGAUUUUAAUUGAUUAAUUAAUUAGAUUUAAUGAUUUCUUUUGAUUUAAAAAUUUCGAGAAAUAGUUUCGAGCUUUGGAUUAUUUUUCUAAAAUAUGUUUGAGGCUCGUUAAAUGAUUUCAAAUGAUUUCGGAUCCGAUCUUGAGCAAUCGGAUUUGAUUAUUUAUUCAAAAAUGGAUUCUUUUACCUGUUUUAAUUCCGAAAAAUGUUUAGAAAUUCCAGAAAAUUCGCGAAAAAUCAUUUUUAACUUGAGACUUGAUUGGAUAUCGAUUGGGACGGGAAACCUUAUGUGCAAUGUGUUGUCUGCUGUCUGUGUGAUAUGUUAUGUGCCGAUAGGAGAGUUAGAAAACGGUUUUGAUCAUAUCUUUUGAUCCGUAAUUCAGAAUCAGGUGAAACGAAAGGGAGAUGAAAGCUUAUGGAAUCUAUUUUAAUAUGACAAGAUAAUAUGAUCGAGUCUAGAAUGUGAUUAUAUGUCAUGUAAUAUGCAAUAUGUGUCAAUAUGUGACUUGUCUGCUAUGAAUUGAUGAUUACGUGAUAUACGUGGCUAUUCCUAAUAUUAUACAUAUGUGAUAAAUGACUUAUAUGACAUAGUGUCGUGAAUUGAUUGAUAUUGGAUAAGAAUAUAUGGAUAGUGAUUGAAUUGUGUUGGUUGAUGGUUGAUUGAGAUAGGAUAACAGGUGGAUAGUCUUAUACAUAGACGAGACGAUGUCGGAUUUUCGAUAAAGAUUUAUAUGAUAAUUGAUUUGUGAUAUGUUAUGUGGAAUAUGAUUGACUAUAUGUUAGAGUCAAAGCAUGAUUAUGUGAUAAGUGAUAUCUAAUAGGUUUAAAGGGUUAUAUAAGGGGUAUCGAUAUACGUGAUGUGUAUGUACAAUAGAUUGUUUAGUAAUUAUAGUAUUGUCUUAUUCUCGUUAAGGAUUUGGACGAGACGUAUACGAUCGAAGACAUUCAGAAGGUCAAACGAUGAUGCAAAGCGAAUGAGAAAUGAAUCGAAGAGACGAAGUCGUAUUACGAAUAAAGUAUAGCCAGAGAUGGUCUAGAGACUAUGAUAUGCAUAGGUUGUGAGUUGGAAAGAUGAGAUUAAGCUGUGUGUGGAAGCGGAUUUAAGGCAAGUUUUCCUAAAUCUUUCCUCAUAUAUAUAUUGCAUGUUCUGAUUAUUCUGUCCAGAUUAUGGUAUUGCUUAUACUGAAACCCUUCUCAAAUAAACUCUUAUUUCUGAGAAUGAAACCCAUGAUUGUUUUCUACCUUUAAGUCUUUGAAAAGCCAAACACCUAAAUACUCUCAAUUUCUAUUACAAGUAUUCUGAUCCAUUCUUUCCAAUCCUCAAGAUUUUAAAAAUAUCAGCUUUACAAAUUAAUUCGAAGUUCAGACCGUCAUUGAAGCAUGGGUUGCUCAGUGAUAGUUAGAACCUAGAAUGAAUUGGGAUCUUCUUGAUUAUUCAACCCGCCAUUGUCAUGCUGGUUUAGCAGGCUAAAUUCAGUUGCUUAGCCGAUAAUGGAGGAUACUGAAUAGUUAGGAAUUUCCUGAACUAUGAUUUAUCAAAAGACAGACUGUGGUUUAUGAAAUGUUGAUCCUCAAAAGUUGAUUUGGAAUAUUUCUGUUGUUGAUAAUGAUUAUGAUUCUGUUCUGUUGAUUGAAUUGUCUAUUGAUUUAAAUUGUUAGAAUUGGAUUAGUUUUUAUAAAAUAUGUGGACCAGAUUCGUGGUCAGACCAGAUUCGUGGUCAAUUAUAGGCCAAUGUGUGCCUUGGAUCCAGUAUAGAGAACAGGGCUGUGUGCCAUGUUCGGGGUUAGUGCGUGACUGAUCAGCAGCCUAACCUUUGGUUUUUAAGUAAAAAUGUGAUGAAUCCAAUUCGACAAUUCUUCUGUAAGUUUGAAUUCUGAUUUCAAUUGCUGAUAAGAAUUGUGAAGUUUUCAAUUACAUAUCCUGAACCCUGAUAAGAUAAUUCAGGACUAUUGUUGCUUAUAUACGCUUGCUGAGCAUUGUUGCUCACCCUUGCUAUUCCUUUUUAACCAUUUCAGAAAAGCUUAAAGAUGAAUUGCUUGAUUGAGAUUGCGAGUAUGGCUAAGGCUAAGCGAGGAGUCAGAGUUAUAGAAUAUCCAGAGGACAAGUGGAAUGUCCAGGGAGAUUGUCAAGGUUGGUUCUAGAUAGAAUUGUAUUGAUGAGAUUCAGUUGUAAGUCAUAAUUGAAAUAGAUUGACAGUGAUUCUUCUUAUCGAAGAUGAUCUGAGGUUGUAAGACAUUGUUUAUUGAUAGUGGUUGAUUCUAAUUUCAAUACUGUAACCUGGAUGCGAUCCUGUUUUUAGGGGGUUAAAGUGUUUUCUUUUAAAUCUUUUACUAAAGUUUUCAGGUUUUAAAUCCUUUGAUUUUAUUACCUUUUUCAAAAAUACAGGUUUUCAAAAGUGUUUUAGAAUGAUUUUGUGUGGUGACGUCAGAAUCCAGACCCCCGGAUUCUCGGGCUGUCACAGUUGGUAUCAGAGCAACAGGUUAUAAGUUAUUGAAAUUAGAAUAUAGAUUGUGGUCAUAAGUUUUAUAGAGAAGAAGUUUUCAGUGACCUCAUAUAGAGGUAUUGUGAGACUGUUUGGGGAUAGUCUAGAGAGGUAAUCGGAAUAGAAUCUAGAUAGUUAAUUAAGUUGAGGGUAUAUGUUUAGAUAGAUCAUGGUUCAUAAGUCUAGAAACUUGGUUUCUAGUAUGGGGACUGAUUGAGAUAGUGAUUUGUGAUAAGGGUCAGAGUUAGACCUAGUCAAAAGAGUAUUAAUAGUGAGAUUGAGUUAAGAAUGAUAAAGAUGCAUGGUUUGAAAAUGGUUUAUUGUUUUAACUGAGAUGUGAAAGAAUGGGUGUAGAAUAUGAGAUAUGUUGGAUUGGAAAGAGAGUUUUGUAGACAGGUGAGAAAUGAAUGAUAGAAAGUAUGUGGAAUUGAGUCUAGUUAUCAGAAGUGAUAUUAUGAGUAGGAUAGGACGCUAGUCUUCAACGACGACGCUUCAAGCUAACCGGGAAUUCAUCUGAUUUCAAGAUGAGCCAGCUUCAUUGCGAAUGAUAAUGUCUACAAGGAAAUCUUACGAGGCUAUCACGAGUUAACAUGGAUCGAUUAUCGAGAACGCCGAGAAGAAGACAUACAUUGAACAACGAUUUAUUGGAGCAGAGCAAGAAUUUGAGAAGACCUUGGCAAUAUCUUUUUCCAACAAAAGCUUAUUUUAAUUCUUUUCAUCAUCAUUGAGCCCUUAUACCUUUCCUACAAAAGUUUUAAUAGAUGAGGUUUUCCAGUUCUCGAAUGACGAGAGAACAUUAGUAUUGAUUAUUGAAAUAAGUGGUAUUGAUUCUUGGUGUGUGAUAAAAGUUGUUGUGAGAAGACAAUGAUAUUUCUUGAUAUUCCUUGACAUUCCGUGAUAUUCUUUGAUAUACCUUGAUAUCUCUUGAUAUUCUUUGGUACUUUUUGAGAUUCCUUGAUAUUCCUUCCAUCUGAUUGGGAUGAACAACCCUAUUUAUAGGGGACACAAGGUAUACCUGUCUGUGUGAUAGGAAUUGGAUGGGACGCCAUCACUUGUGUGUGUUGUGAUUACAAGAAGGUUAACAACCUUUAGUAGUGUCUAAUAUGGGCACGCAACACUAAGUUCGUUUGGUCAUAUUGAUCUCUCAGUCACUUUCUUAUUUAAACAUGACCUAUUCUGAAAACCUUUUGCUCCAUUCUAAGUUCUUAAAGAUUGAAUCUAAGAACUGAGCUCUGAAAUAGUGAAAGUUUUAAUACUCUUAUUUGUUUCAAAGUCAAAGGUAUGCCAAGGUCGAACGAAGGUGGAAGGAUGAUAGUACGAAGGGUGUACAUUUUCGUUCUCUUCGCGGAUUCUGAGGACAGAAUCCUUAUAAGGAGGGUAGAUUGUAACAUCCCAGAUUUUCAGAAUUAGUUUAUUAAUAUAGAAAUAAUUUUUGAAUAUUACUAUUGGCUUUAAUUGAUUUCUUCUGAUAAGAUGAACGGUCUGUGUAAUAUGAGUAUAAUUGUGAUGUGAAUUAUAAGGUUUAAACCGACUAUGCAUUCUUCUCCUGUGAUUUCGUAUAUUUUUACGACCCGGAUUUUUCAAAAAUUGUGUAUCGUUAUGAAAGUUAUUUUCUUAGAAAGAAGGAAUAAAGUUUAAUAUUUUAUUCCAGUUUAAGGUAUUUUCAAAAUUUUAUUUUAUAUAAUUGAUUUUAAAGAUUUAAAGGAUGGCUAUCGUUACAUGGCUAAGUGUUGCAUGUGGAAUUGUGAGUUUAAUUAGUUAUGAUAAUUAAAUGUGAAUAUUGCAUGAAUUUGGUGUGAAUUGAUUUUCUGUAAUUGGUAAUUAUACGUGCCAGAACUGUGGGUUCAAUUAUUGAUAUUAUCAGAAUGAGUCAUAUGUUAUUUAAAUAUUUUCAAAUGAUUUAUAUACGGAUAUAUGAAUAUCCUUUCAAAACUCAUUUCAAAUAUUAUUUCUGAAAAUACAGAGAUUUGUUAUGCAAAAGUUAGAUGGUCGAUAUGUGAAGAUAUGUAUUACAUGAUUAAGUGUUACGUGUGUAAUGGUCGCGUAAUUAGUUAUGGUUAUUUUUGAAUAUUAUAUGAAUAUUUGGUAAAUUCUUUGAUAACUAGUUUUUUUAUUUUGAUUGCUUAUAUAUGUUGCAAUCACGAGUUUUCAAUUUUCAUAUUCUCAGAAUAGAAUAUGGAACAUUUGGGUAUUUCCCUAAUAAUUUAUGAGUAGUAUGUGAUAUUUAUAUGAAUAUUUGUGAGGUUUGUGUUAUCUGAGUUAUUGAAUUGACUGCUCAUAUGUGUUCGGAUUUGAGAUAUUUCAAUUUCUAUAUGAUCAGAAUAAAAUCUAGUUUAUUUAGAUAUGUUCAUAUCGAUUUUUGGAUUGCUAUGUGAUUUUAUAAUCGAUUUAUGGAUUUAAUUUCGUUUAAUUAUUAAUUAUAUUAAAAUAUUUAUUUAAUAUUUUAAACCCCGCGGGCGUUCGGGGAAAAAUUCGCCAUUAGGCUAUUUGGGACAUUCUGAGCAUUUCUCGUGUUUUAACUUUUUCAAUCCGGAGUACGGUUUACCCCGUAAAUGGUCCGGUACAAUUUUGUUAAUAUUUUUAAGGUUAAUGAUUAUCUGGUUGUAUAAAAAUACGUGAAGCAUAUUCCAGAGAAUAUUCCAAAGCAUAUUCAAGGAAUAUUCCAAAGCAUAUUCGAGGAAUAUUCUCUUAUCUUCUUCUAUAAAUAUCCUUUACCAGUUUAUUUCGCACGUACAAUCAUUUCGCCAGUUCUCUGCACGAAUACCGAGAGAAAACGAACGGGUGUUCUUCGUGUUCUUCAUAAUCAAACAAGGAUUUGAAGGCGUUAUUGGAAUCCGAUGGAGGCGUAUAAAUAGUCAAAACGAAGCUCUCGACGCGUAGAAUCUAUUGUAGUUAUCCAUACCAGUGCUGAAUCGACAGGUUUUUACUAAGUAAGCUUUUUAAUUUCGAAUUUAAAUGAUUUUAAAUAUGAAUUUUUGCAAACGUGCUUGUUUGAUUGAUUUGAUGCUUCCAUGUUGUAGAGCGUCUCCUGCCAUUCGUUUUCAUAUAUUAUAUGCCGAUUUUUGACUUCCGUAACAUAUAGAAAAGUUAGUUUGAUUCUUGAAGUUGUGUUCUUGGAGGUUAUGAAUGUUCUUAAUUGGAAAAGAGGCGUUUUUAAUCUGGGGAUUCUGCGUUGUAUUGGUUUAUACCAUUAGGAAGAGCGUGUCAAGAGGAAUAUGUUCAUAUAAUCGGAUUUUGUGGAGGAUUCACGGUUGAGCUUAUUGGAGUUUAAGAACACCGGCGGUGUUCUUGGACUUUCCGGCCAAAAUCCGGCCAAACUACAUGCUAUUUACUGAUUCUGAUUAUGGGUAUGGGUUCCUGGUAGUAUGAACUUUAAAUCUGGAGUUUAUGGGGUGUGUAGGACGUCGGAAAAUCGAUUUCCGGCGAGGUAGUAUGGUGGCCGACGGAUAAUUUCCGUUUGGUCACCAACGUUAUGAAGAUGAUGAAGGUUUGACACUGGAGUUUGAUUGUUGACAUUCUAGCUCUCGAACUUUUGAAAGUUUACACCUGGCACCCUGCCAGACAAUUUCAGUAUUUUUACAAUUUAAACCUUUUCAAAUUUAUUUCAAAAAUUCAUUUUAGUGAUUUAUUUUAAUUUCAAAAAUAGUUUCUAAUUACUUCUUUAUUCAAAAAUAAAUCUGAAAUUAGUUUAUUAAUUAAAUUUAAUUAGUAAUUAAUUAUUUUAAUUGGUCAAUUAAUUUUAAUAUUAAUUGAUGGAUUAUUUUAAUUAAUUAUUAAUUGAUUUUAAUUGAUUAAUUAAUUAGAUUUAAUGAUUUCUUUUGAUUUAAAAAUUUCGAGAAAUAGUUUCGAGCUUUGGAUUAUUUUUCUAAAAUAUGUUUGAGGCUCGUUAAAUGAUUUCAAAUGAUUUCGGAUCCGAUCUUGAGCAAUCGGAUUUGAUUAUUUAUUCAAAAAUGGAUUCUUUUACCUGUUUUAAUUCCGAAAAAUGUUUAGAAAUUCCAGAAAAUUCGCGAAAAAUCAUUUUUAACUUGAGACUUGAUUGGAUAUCGAUUGGGACGGGAAACCUUAUGUGCAAUGUGUUGUCUGCUGUCUGUGUGAUAUGUUAUGUGCCGAUAGGAGAGUUAGAAAACGGUUUUGAUCAUAUCUUUUGAUCCGUAAUUCAGAAUCAGGUGAAACGAAAGGGAGAUGAAAGCUUAUGGAAUCUAUUUUAAUAUGACAAGAUAAUAUGAUCGAGUCUAGAAUGUGAUUAUAUGUCAUGUAAUAUGCAAUAUGUGUCAAUAUGUGACUUGUCUGCUAUGAAUUGAUGAUUACGUGAUAUACGUGGCUAUUCCUAAUAUUAUACAUAUGUGAUAAAUGACUUAUAUGACAUAGUGUCAUGAAUUGAUUGAUAUUGGAUAAGAAUAUAUGGAUAGUGAUUGAAUUGUGUUGGUUGAUGGUUGAUUGAGAUAGGAUAACAGGUGGAUAGUCUUAUACAUAGACGAGACGAUGUCGGAUUUUCGAUAAAGAUUUAUAUGAUAAUUGAUUUGUGAUAUGUUAUGUGGAAUAUGAUUGACUAUAUGUUAGAGUCAAAGCAUGAUUAUGUGAUAAGUGAUAUCUAAUAGGUUUAAAGGGUUAUAUAAGGGGGUAUCGAUAUACGUGAUGUGUAUGUACAAUAGAUUGUUUAGUGAUUAUAGUAUUGUCUUAUUCUCGUUAAGGAUUUGGACGAGACGUAUACGAUCGAAGACAUUCAGAAGGUCAAACGAUGAUGCAAAGCGAAUGAGAAAUGAAUCGAAGAGACGAAGUCGUAUUACGAAUAAAGUAUAGCCAGAGAUGGUCUAGAGACUAUGAUAUGCAUAGGUUGUGAGUUGGAAAGAUGAGAUUAAGCUGUGUGUGGAAGCGGAUUUAAGGCAAGUUUUCCUAAAUCUUUCCUCAUAUAUAUAUUGCAUGUUCUGAUUAUUCUGUCCAGAUUAUGGUAUUGCUUAUACUGAAACCCUUCUCAAAUAAACUUUUAUUUCUGAGAAUGAAACCCAUGAUUGUUUUCUACCUUUAAGUCUUUGAAAAGCCAAACACCCAAAUACUCUCAAUUUCUAUUACAAGUAUUCUGAUCCAUUCUUUCCAAUCCUCGAGAUUUUAAAAAUAUCAGCUUUACAAAUUAAUUCGAAGUUCAGACCGUCAUUGAAGCAUGGGUUGCUCAGUGAUAGUUAGAACCUAGAAUGAGUUGGGAUCUUCUUGAUUAUUCAACCCGCCAUUGUCAUGCUGGUUUAGCAGGCUAAAUUCAGUUGCUUAGCCGAUAAUGGAGGAUACUGAAUAGUUAGGAAUUUCCUGAACUAUGAUUUAUCAAAAGACAGACUGUGGUUUAUGAAAUGUUGAUCCUCAAAAGUUGAUUUGGAAUAUUUCUGUUGUUGAUAAUGAUUAUGAUUCUGUUCUGUUGAUUGAAUUGUCUAUUGAUUUAAAUUGUUAGAAUUGGAUUAGUUUUUAUAAAAUAUGUGGACCAGAUUCGUGGUCAGACCAGAUUCGUGGUCAAUUAUAGGCCAAUGUGUGCCUUGGAUCCAGUAUAGAGAACAGGGCUGUGUGCCAUGUUCGGGGUUAGUGCGUGACUGAUCAGCAGCCUAACCUUUGGUUUUUAAGUAAAAAUGUGAUGAAUCCAAUUCGACAAUUCUUCUGUAAGUUUGAAUUCUGAUUUCAAUUGCUG
rnacentral:lncRNA from 1 species